rnacentral:rRNA from 1 species
GACGAACGCUGGCGGCGUGCUUAACACAUGCCAGUCGAACGGAAAGGCCCUGCUUUUGUGGGGUGCUCGAGUGGCGAACGGGUGAGUAACACGUCAGUAACCUGCCCUUGACUUUGGGAUAACUUCAGGAAACUGGGGCUAAUACCGGAUAGGAGCUCCUGCUGCAUGGUGGGGGUUGGAAAGUUUCGGCGGUUGGGGAUGGACUCGCGGCUUAUCAGCUUGUUGGUGGGGUAGUGGCUUACCAAGGCUUUGACGGGUAGCCGGCCUGAGAGGGUGACCGGCCACAUUGGGACUGAGAUACGGCCCAGACUCCUACGGGAGGCAGCAGUGGGGAAUAUUGCACAAUGGGCGGAAGCCUGAUGCAGCAACGCCGCGUGCGGGAUGACGGCCUUCGGGUUGUAAACCGCUUUCGCCUGUGACGAAGCGUGAGUGACGGUAAUGGGUAAAGAAGCACCGGCUAACUACGUG